rnacentral:rRNA from 1 species
GUAGCAAUACAUCACCGGCGGACGGGUGCGUAACACGUGGGAAUAUACCUUUUGGUUCGGAACAACGCAGGGAAACUUGCGCUAAUACCGAAUGUGCCCUUACGGGGAAAGAUUUAUCGCCAAAGGAUUAGCCCGCGUCCGAUUAGCUAGUUGGUGAGGUAAUGGCUCACCAAGGCUCCGAUCGGUAGCUGUUCUGAGAGGAAGAUCAGCCACACUGGGACUGAGACACGGCCCAAACUCCUACGGGAGGCAGCAGUGGGGAAUAUUGGACAAUGGGCGCAAGCCUGAUCCAGCCAUGCCGCGUGAGUGAUGAAGGCCCUAGGG